rnacentral:misc_RNA from 1 species
UCCGGUUUGUCACCGGCAGUCUCAUUAGAGUGCUCAACUGAAUGUAGCAACUAAUGACAAGGGUUGCGCUCGUUGCGGGACUUAACCCAACAUCUCACGACACGAGCUGACGACAGCCAUGCAGCACCUGUGUUCAGGUUCCCUUUCGGGCACCUCUGCAUUUCUGCAGAGUUCCUGACAUGUCAAGGGUAGGUAAGGUGGGGAUGACGUUUCCAGGUUAGG